rnacentral:rRNA from 1 species
AGAGGUUGAUUCUGGCUCAGGAUGAACGCUAGCUACAGGCUUAACACAUGCAAGUCGAGGGGCAGCGCAGUGUAGCAAUACAUGGGGCGGCGACCGGCGCACGGGUGCGUGACGCUUAUCCGACCUUCCCGUUACUCUUGGAUAGCCUUCCGAAAGGGAGAUUAAUACAGGAUGGUAUUCAAAUUCCACAUGUUAUUUGAAUUAAAGAUUUAUCGGUAACGGAUGGGGAUGCGUGACAUUAGAUAGUAGGCGGGGUAACGGCCCACCUAGUCCACGAUGUCUAGGGGUUGUGAGAGGAAGGUCCCCCUCACUGGAACUGAGACACGGUCCAGACUCCUACGGGAGGCAGCAGUGGGGAAUGUUGGUCGAUGGUCGGAAGACUGAACCAGCCAAGUAGCGUGAAGGAUGAAGGUUCUAUGGAUUGUAAACUUCUUUUAUACGGGAAUAAAACCACCUACGUGUAGGUGCUUGUAUGUACCGUAUGAAUAAGCAUCGGCUAACUCCGUGCCAGCAGCCGCGGUAAUACGGAGGAUGCGAGCGUUAUCCGGAUUUAUUGGGUUUAAAGGGAGCGUAGACGGGAUGUUAAGUCAGUUGUGAAAGGCUGCGGCUCAACCGCAGCACUGCAGUUGAUACUGGCGUCCUUGAGUGCGGUUGAGGUGUGUGGAAUUCGUGGUGUAGCGGUGAAAUGCUUAGAUAUCACGAAGAACUCCGAUUGCGAAGGCAGCACACUAAGCCGCUACUGACGUUGAGGCUCGAAAGUGUGGGUAUCAAACAGGAUUAGGUACCCUGGUAGUCCGCACAGUAAACGAUGAAUGCUGGUCAUUGGCGACAUAUUGUCAGUGACUGAGGGAAACCAUUAAGCAUUCCACCUGGGGAGUACGCCGGCAACGGUGAAACUCAAAGGAAUUGACGGGGGCCCGCACAAGCGGAGGAACAUGUGGUUUAAUUCGAUGAUACGCGAGGAACCUUACCCGGGCUUGAAAUGUGCAUGACUGUUGGGAGAGAUCCCUUCGUCCUUCGGGCAUGCAUGUAGGUGCUGCAUGGUUGUCGUCAGCUCGUGCCGUGAGGUGUCGGCUUAAGUGCCAUAACGAGCGCAACCCUUGCCGCCAGUUGCCAUCAGGUGAUGCUGGGCACUCUGGCGGGACUGCCAUCGCAAGAUGUGAGGAAGGUGGGGAUGACGUCAAAUCAGCACGGCCCUUACGUCCGGGGCUACACACGUGUUACAAUGGGGGGUACAGAAUGCAGCUGGGCGGCGACGUCCGGCCAAUCACCAAAUCCCCUCUCAGUUCGGACUGGAGUCUGCAACCCGACUCCACGAAGCUGGAUUCGCUAGUAAUCGCGCAUCAGCCAUGGCGCGGUGAAUAAGUUCCCGGGCCUUGCACUCACCGCCCGUCA